rnacentral:rRNA from 1 species
CCUACGGGUGGCAGCAGUGAGGAAUAUUGGUCAAUGGGCGCGAGCCUGAACCAGCCAAGUAGCGUGAAGGAUGACUGCCCUACGGGUUGUAAACUUCUUUUAUAAAGGAAUAAAGUGAUGCACGUGUGCCUUUUUGUAUGUACUUUAUGAAUAAGGAUCGGCUAACUCCGUGCCAGCAGCCGCGGUAAUACGGAGGGUGCGAGCGUUAUCCGGAUUUAUUGGGUUUAAAGGGAGCGUCGAUGGGUUGUUAAGUCAGUUGUGAAAGUUUGCGGCUCAACCGUAAGAUUGACAGUGAUACUGGCAGACUUGAGUACGAUUGAGGAAGGCGGAAUUCGUGGUGUAGCGGUGAAAUGCUUAGAUAUCACGAAGAACUCCGAUUGCGAAGGCAGCCUACUAAACUGCCACUGACGUUGAUGCUCGAAAGUGUGGGUAUCAAACAGGAUUAGAUACCCCAGUAGUC